rnacentral:rRNA from 1 species
CCUACGGGAUGCUGCCGUGAGGAAUAUUGGUCAAUGGGCGGGAGCCUGAACCAGCCAAGUCGCGUGAGGGACGACGGUCCUAUGGAUUGUAAACCUCUUUUGUCGGGGAACAAAGGCGCCCACGGGUGGGCGGAUGAGUGUACCCGACGAAAAAGCAUCGGCUACCUCCGUGCCAGCAGCCGCGGUAAUCCGGAGGCUGCGAGCGUUAUCCGGAUUUAUGGGGGUAAAAGGGUGCGUAGGCGGACAGUCAAGUCAGCGGUAAAAAUGCGGUGCUCAACGCCGUACAGCCGUUGAAACUGGCAGUCUGGAGUGGGCGAGAAGUAUGCGGAAUGCGUGGUGUAGCGGUGAAAUGCAUAGAUAUCACGCAGAACUCCGAUUGCGAAGGCAGCAUACCGGCGCCCGACUGACGCUGAGGCACGAAAGCGUGGGUAUCGAACAGGAUUAGAUACCCUAGUAGUC